rnacentral:rRNA from 1 species
GAUGAACGCUGGCGGCGUGCCUAAUACAUGCAAGUCGAGCGAACAGAUGAUGAGCUUGCUCUCCUGACGUUAGCGGCGGACGGGCGAGUAACACGUGGAUAACCUACCUAUUAGACUGGGAUAAUUUCGGGAAACCGGAGCUGAUACUGGAUCAUAUAUUGUACCGCAUGGUUCAAUAGAGAUAGACGGCUUUGCUGUUUCUUAUAGAUGGUUCCGCGUUGCAUUAGCUAGUUGGUAAGGUAACGGCUUACCAAGGCAACGAUGCGUAGCCGACCUGAGAGGGUGAUCGGCCACACUGGAACUGAGACACGGUCCAGACUCCUACGGGAGGCAGCAGUAGGGAAUCUUCCGCAAUGGGCGAAAGCCUGACGGAGCAACGCCGCGUGAGUGAUGAAGGUCUUCGGAUCGUAAAACUCUUUUAUUAGGGAAGAAAAAAUGUGUAAGUAACUAUGCACGUCUUGACGGUACCUAAUCAGAAAGCCACGGCUAACUACGUG